UCCCUAGUAGCUGAUUUGUAAAGAAUCUGCCUGCAAUGCAGGAGACCUGGGUUCCAUCCCUGGAUUGGGAA
rnacentral:tRNA from 1 species